GAUGAACGCUGACAGAAUGCUUAACACAUGCAAGUCGAUGGGGAAGUGGUGCUUGCACCAUGGCAACCAUGGCGGACGGGUGAGUAACGCGUAAGGGACUUACCUGCAUGACUGGGAUAACAGGGGGAAACUCCUGACAAGACCGGAUAAUGUCAUGGAUCUGCAUGGCUUUAUGAUGAAAGGAGACGCCUGCGGAGAGCCUUGCGUCCUAUUAGCUAGUUGGUGAGGUAGUGGCUCACCGAGGCGAAGAUAGGGAGCCGGCCUGAGGGGGUGGACGGCCACAAGGGGACUGAGAUGCGGCCCUUACUCCUACGGGAGGCCGCAGUGGGGAAUAUUGGACAAUGGGGGCAACCCUGAUCCAGCAAUUCUGUGUGCACGAAGAAGGUUUUCGGAUUGUAAAGUGCUUUCAGCAGGGAAGAAGUAAGUGACGGUACCUGCAGAAGAAGCGACGGCUAAAUACGUG
rnacentral:rRNA from 1 species